rnacentral:rRNA from 1 species
AUGCACGCUGGCGGCGUGCCUCAUCCCUGCCAGUCGAGCGAACAGAUGAGGAGCUUGCUCCUCUGACGUUAGCGGCGGACGGGUGAGUAACACGUGGAUAACCUACCUAUAAGACUGGGAUAACUUCGGGAAACCGGAGCUAAUACCGGAUAAUAUAUUGAACCGCAUGGUUCAAUAGUGAAAGACGGUUUUGCUGUCACUUAUAGAUGGAUCCGCGCCGCAUUAGCUAGUUGGUAAGGUAACGGCUUACCAAGGCAACGAUGCGUAGCCGACCUGAGAGGGUGAUCGGCCACACUGGAACUGAGACACGGUCCAGACUCCUACGGGAGGCAGCAGUAGGGAAUCUUCCGCAAUGGGCGAAAGCCUGACGGAGCAACGCCGCGUGAGUGAUGAAGGUCUUCGGAUCGUAAAACUCUGUUAUUAGGGAAGAACAAAUGUGUAAGUAACUAUGCACGUCUUGACGGUACCUAAUCAGAAAGCCACGGCUAACUACGUG